UGGGGAAUAUUGCACAAUGGGCGCAAGCCUGAUGCAGCCAUGCCGCGUGUAUUAAGAAGGCCUUCGGGUUGUAAAGUACUUUCAGCGGGGAGGAAGGGAUUAAAGUUAAUACCUUUGCUCAUUGACGUUACCCGCAGAAGAAGCACCGGCUAACUCCGUGCCAGCAGCCGCGGUAAUACGGAGGGUGCAAGCGUUAAUCGGAAUUACUGGGCGUAAAGCGCACGCAGGCGGUUUGUAAAGUCAGAUGUGAAAUCCCCGGGCUCAACCUGGGAACUGCAUCUGAUACUGGCAAGCUUGAGUCUCGUAGAGGGGGGUAGAAUUCCAGGUGUAGCGGUGAAAUGCGUAGAGAUCUGGAGGAAUACCGGUGGCGAAGGCGGCCCCCUGGACGAAGACUGACGCUCAGGUGCGAAAGCGUGGGGAGCAAACAGG
rnacentral:rRNA from 1 species